CGCGCUGGGGCAUGUAGUUCUCUGCAGGCGGGAGGCGCACGGUGGGUCGGGAAAGUUGGCCUCGGAGAACUACAGCCGCUCUGGGCGCGCAGAAGCUCGCUCCUUCGCGGUGCAUCCUGGGGGAUGUGGUUUACUUCUCCACCACCCCCACCCCCCACCUCAGUUGGCUCCGGAGCUCUGCUGAGGAGUUGAACCUCUUCCGAAAAACUACCGUCCCGGAAGGAAGCCUCUGUUUAGUUCUGAUCCCCAAGGUCCAGGCUUGGGUCCUCAGAGGGUGCGUUCUGGAGAGGCCCCAGCUGCUGGCCGGGCUGCUUUUCCUGAACUCGGUGCAAACACGUGAAAGUAGUUGGAGUCCCCUAACAAUGGAUAAAUUCGUCAUUCGAACGCCCAGAAUCCAGAAUAGUCCUCAGAAGAAAGGUCCUGGAGGAAAGAUUUACAAGCAGGCCACAAUUGAAUCUCUGAAGAGAGUUGUGGUUAUAGAAGACAUAAAAAGAUGGAAAACUAUGUUGGAGCUUCCUCAUCAAACCAAAGAGAAUUUAGUGGAAGCCUUACAAGAAUUAAAGAAGAAACUACCCUCCAGGGAAGUGUUAAAAUCAACAAGGAUAGGUCACACUGUGAACAAGAUGUGUCAACACUCAGAUUCAGAAGUGGCUUGUCUUGCCAGAGAAGUUUACACUGAGUGGAAAACUUUCAUUGAAAAACAUGUGGAUAAACCUUCUAUAGAAGUCCGAAGUGAUUCCAAAACCGAGGCACUUAGGAAAAACGCCCAGAAAUUACUCUCAGAAGCCUUGGAAUUAGAGAUGGAUCACCUACUGGUUGAAAAUAUUGAACGGGAGACGUUUCAUCUCUGUUCCCGCCUCAUUAACGGGCCGUACCGGCGGACGGUGAGAGCCCUGGUCUUCACAUUAAAGCAUCGAGCUGAAAUCCGGGCCCAGGUGAAGAACGGCAUGCUGCCAGUCGGCACGUUUGUACAGACCCACAAAAAGUGACCUGAGGAUGGUUCCAGCCCUGGGCUGGGCAGAAAGGAAAAUGGGCCUCUCUACCAUUCAAAGAUUCUUUUGAGUUUGGGUGAUGGCUGAUGCUGGCUGUGUUAAAUUUUCCCGUGGUGCCAUUCCUUCAGACUGAGGAUGCAAAGAGCCCAGGAGACAGGCCUGCAGGAAGUGCUUCAUUAGCUGCAGUGCGCUGGUGCCGCCUAACAGCACGUGCACUGGCUGUCACUGGGAAGCGCAGUACGGUUGCCAUCACCCAACACAGUGAAAGGGUGAUGGAUUUCACUGUGAAUAUGCGAAGGACACCUCUAAAGUUCCCUGUGUCAGGCAGAUGAAGUUACUACUUUAUUUCGCCACCCUGCAGAAUUUCCAUGAACGCUAAUGGAGGUAUUCUGAGUGCUUGCUGAAGGGAAGGAGACUUGCAGACAUCCAUCUAAGCUUCCCCACCCACUAAGAAGCACCUCUGAGCUCCAGCCUCUUAAAAAUGAAAGGGUCAGCUCAUGAAAUGAGGUGAGAGAAGUUCCUGGGAGCUCUGAGUUGCCUGUAAGUCUUGGCAUGAAUGUGUCUUCUAAGUGUGUUCAGUUGCUAGAGGAAAUUUGGGAGAGUAAAUACCAUUAGAAUCUGCUCCAGCAGCUUAUUGAUCCUUUUCUUGUGGUGGUUGUAUUGGAGGUCUUGGUCUUUUGGGUAGGGACCAGGUCAGUUUUCAUUCACUCAGCAAACGAAUGUUGCCCAGCUGCUCUGUUCCAGGAACUAGACUGGCACUGGGGAAACUGCAGUAAAUGAGAUAUAAUUUCCAUCAUUCAGGAACUCUUAGUCUGGUGGGAAGACAGACACUUAGGAAAAUAAUUAACGUAUAGCAUAUUGUUUACUGUAGAUAUUUAUUUAAAGUGUUGAGAAAGUGGAGAAAGCAGUGAUUAACACCAUUCUAAGGGAAGGAAAGUCUUUACACAGGGUUAAUGUUUGAACUAAGUCUGAAAGAUAGUUAGGAGUUCUUAGCAGAGGGGUCAGUAUGUGUGCAAAAGCACAGAGAUGUAAAGUGCAUGGCUUGUUUUAGUAAAGGCAAGUUAUAUGGGUAGUGGAAGCAUAAAGGUCUUAGGAAUGGAGAGAAAUGGGGCAAAAAGGUAGCCAGGACCCUGGAGGCCUUGUGAGGGAACUUGGACUUUGGCCUUCAGAUCUUGGGAGGCCGUGAGAAUUUUCUGAGGAGGUGAGGGGGCUCAUAAGAUGUGUGUUUUAAAAAGAUAAAAGUGUUCCUGCAUAGACAGAUAUUUAAGGAAAAAAUUAUAAACAAACAAACAAAACCCCCUACAGUUUGAGGCAAAGGAAAGAAACACCUGAGAUUCAGUAAAUUAGAGAUUUUUUUUUUUUGACAAAUGAAGUUUAAAGUUGACCAAACAGAUACCAUUAGAGUCCCAAGUGUGAAAAAUGGCAGGAAGCUCCUCUAAUGCGGUUACUGUGUUCAGUGGUGAAGGAACAGGCAGCUGGCCUUUUUUCAUUUAUAGAAUAUCAGGUCUUUAAACUUGUGCCUGUCAACCUCGGUUUUCUUUUGCUGCAGCCUCAGGCCUCAGAGCCUCACUCUGAGAUUUGUAAUGUAUUUUGGAUGCGUUUAUCACAGCCAGAUGGGGCGAGGGCUCAGUUUGUUACUGCCCAUUAUUGCUAUGGAAGGAAGUGCAUCCACAAAACAAGGCUCUGGAGCUUCAGUUCGUUUGGUGACACUGCCUUGGUUUCAGUAGAGAGAUGGUUUGAUUGGAUGACACUGUAUUUUCUUUUAAACCAACCAAAAUAAUACAAUUGCUGUCAGGAAUAGGCUUACCCAUAAGCUAAGGAGUUUGGUUUAAAGAUCCAAGGAGACUGCGAUGUCCAAUCAAAUGCUCCUUUUUAUCUUGUUAAAAUCAUUGAUAUUGAUUCAGUGUAUAUUUAUUGAGUUCUCAUGUGCCAGGUUCAGGGGUAAAGAAGAUAGUCCCUGGCCCCAGGAAGCUCACAGUCUAGUGAAGGAGACAGAUAAACCGUUUUUUAAAAGUCAAGCAUUCUGAAUUAUGGGCAUUCAAAGAAGAGGAAAUAAGCCAAUAAACAUAUUAGAAGAUGCUCAACCUCACUGGUAGUCAAGGAAUGGCAAAGAUGAAUGCCAUCCUUAAAGACUUACAGGGUGCAGGGAUAGUGAUCCCCAUUACCUCUCUAUUUAGUUCACUGAUCUGGCCCCUACAAAAAUCAGAUGGAUUCUGGAAGAUGACAGUGGACCACAGCAGAGUCAACCAAGUGGUAAUUCUAGUUGUAGAUGUGGCAUCUUUCCUGGAGUGCAUUAACAUCUUCUCAAAUACAUGGUAUGUAGCCACUGAUCCAGUCAUUGUUUUUUUUUUUUUUCCCUUGCCUAUCAGAAAGGAAGACCAGAGUUCAUAUUCACCUGGAAUAGAUGAAAGUAUACAUUUACAGUCUUGUCCAGGGCUGUUAACUUUCCCGCCCUCUCACAACCUAGUCUGAAAAGACCUGUACUGCCUAGAUAUCUUGCAGAACAUCACACUGCAUUAAAGGCAUCAGCUAAUUAGACCAGGUGAGCAAGAAACAGCAAGUGUAUUGGAAGCCUUAGUGAGACACAUGCAUUGCGGAGAGUAGGAGAAAACACUAUGAAGAUUCAGGGGCCUGACAUAUCAGGGAAAUUUUUAGGGGCCAGUCAUCUGGGAUUUGCCGGGUACAUUCCCUCCAAAGUAAAAGACAAAGUAUUAUACCUCCUCCUCCCCCAGUAGGAAGGAAGCACAAUGCCUGGUAGGCCCCUGGGUUUUAGAGGCAGCAUGUUUCAUACCCGGGAAUACUGCUUCCUCCCAUAUACUGGAUAACACAGAGGCUGCCUGUUUGGAUGGGGCCCCAGAGUGGGAAAGGGCUCAGCAGCAGGUCCAGGCUAUAGUACAAGUAACCUUGGUGUGUGGACCGUAUGAUCUGGUGGGACUCAUGGUCUCUGAGGGAUCUGUAGUGGGGAAAGAUGCCUAUGGAGUUUAUGACAAGCCUAGUAGGAGAAGCACAAUCUAGACCCCUGGGGUUCUGGAGCAAGGCCCUGCCAUCUGCAGCCAGGAAUGACACACUUUUCAGAAUACAGCCACUGAUUUGCUGAAGGGUUCUGGUAGAGACGGGUCAUCUGACCACAGAUGGUCAAGUUGGCCACGCAACCAAAGCUGCUCACCGUGGGCUGGAUUCUGUCAGAUCCACCAAGUCAUAAGGUCAGACAAGGCCAGCAGCAGUUUAUCACAAGAUAGACAUGGUACAGCUGAGCCAAAGCGCAAAAGGCUACAUGAGCAGGUGGCCCAGACAUAUGUCACCCAGCACCUUUGCACCAGUGCCUCUCCCUCACCUCACCUAUGGAUGCUUAGGGAGCUCCUUGUAUCCAGCUGGAAAAAAAACCCAAAAUUUGUUCAUGAGUGGGUCAGCUCAGUAUGUGUGAGCAAGCCAAAAAUACACUGUUGCUGCACUAUAGGCCCCAUGCAGGGGCGUCCUUGAAAGGCAGUAGAGGAGGAAAUCCCUUCGACGGGCAGAGCUGUGAAUAGUACAUAUAGUCACCUACUUCUUGUGCAAAGAAAAGGGGCCCAAGGUUAGCAUAUCCGUGGGUCUCAUGGGCAGCAGUGUAUGAUUUGGCUGGUUGAUCAGGGACCUGGAAGGAUAAGAUUAGAAAACCAGGAAUAGGGAUAUCUGGGGUGAAGUCAUAUGGACAGACCUAUGGAAGUGGGCACCAAGUGUGUAUUCCAUGUUAACACCCACUGGAGAGUGAAGCACUGAACAACCCUGUAUAUGCAGCUGGCAUUAGCCAGCCUCUAAAGCCACCCCAGAGCUGGCACAAGGGGUGCACAUGAACAGAGUAACCACAACGGCAUGGAGGGAGGGUAAGUGUGUGCCGAAUAGCAUGCGUUCCCAGUCACCAAGACUGACUGAGCUAUUGCUGAUGCUGAGUGUUCAACCUGCAAGUUACAAAGACCAACUCUGAGUCUCAGAUAUGUCUCCAUCCCUUGAGGAAAACCACCAGCCACUUGACAAGUUGGUUGUAUUAAACCCCUUCCACCCUGGAAAGAGCUGCGAUUCAUUUUCACUGAAAUAGACAUACAUCCUAGAUAUUGCUUUGCUUGUAGGGCUUCAUCCUGCACAACUCUCCAAGGGUUUACAGAGUGUUUAAUCUACUGGCAUGGGAUCCCCUAUGAGUCUACAGCAGUGGGCACAUGGCCACCUACUGCCCUAUCCUUAAGCUGCCAGCUUGGAACUAACUGUAGAAGGCACAGCUGAGGCACCAGCUCAGAAACAACACUCCGUGAGGAUAGGGUGCCAUCCUCCAGGAUGCAGCACAUAUUCUAAAUCAAAGACCAUUCUACAGUGCUUUGUCUCCAACAGGUAGAAUUCAUGGGUCCAGGAACCAAAGGAUGAAAGUAAGAGUGGUCUCACGCUUACCAUCACUCCAGGAAAGCAUUUGUUCUUUCUAUCCCCCCAGUUUUAAGUUCCCAAAGAGGCAGCACUUCAGCCAGGAGAAACACCAAGAUGACUAUUGAACUUUUAGCUAUGUCUUCCAGCCAGACACUUUGAGCUCCUUGUGUCCAGGUACCAGCAGGCAAGAAGUGGAGUCACCUGACCAUCAGGAGGAAAUAAGGCUGCUGUUAAGCACUGGAGCAGGGAGAUAUAUCUUUGGUACCCAGUUGAUUCAUUUGGAAACCUCUCAGUACUCCCUUGCUCAAUACUUACAGUCAGUAGACAAGUGCAGGGGCCACAGCCUGAGAAGGAUCAGGCGACCACAGGUUCAGACCUCUCAGGACAGAGCAUCUAGAUCAUGCUACCACGGAGGUCACUGAGACCAACUAGCUGAGGGUAAGGGGACUCUAGAAUGGAUAAAAGAAGAGGGAGACGAUGAGUAUCAUUUGUGACCUCAAGACUAGUCACAGUGGUGGGGGUUGCAGUUUGUCCCACUAAGUUUUCUCUGUAAGUUUUCCCCAGGAAGAGAGGCCACCAGAAUCCCAGAAGACCUGCUCCCAGAACUUAAAGUUUAGCUGGAUGGCACAAGGUGCAGGCUCUAGUGGAUGCUGUUCUGCACUGCCCAGACCUCCCACCCCUAUGCCUGAGACACCUAUUCCCCCUCAACUGAAGAGCGUUACCUCACCCCAGCUCAUACCCCUUUCCCAGGGCAGGUUGAUUCAGGGUUAGAAAGACCUAUUUCCUUUGCCCUAACUCAGCACAACUCUGAAGGACCAGCCCAGCUUCACAGCUCUAGGUGGCAUUGGCUGAGGUCUUCCUAUUGUGUCACUCGUCACAUCUGCCUAAUCUUGUUCCUUUCCCACCCGCCACCCAAAAGCAAUCCCUAAUAAACUCCCUAUAUGCUAAUUGCCAUCUCAGAGUCCCCUCCCCAGGGAACUGGACCUGUAACAUAGCUCUUCUAGUUGUUGGUGACAACUCUUAGAGCAUGGGUUAGCAAACUUUUUAAAAAAGGGAAUAAAGAUUUUAGGCUUUGCAAGCCAUAUGGUCCUUGUCACAGCUACUCAACUCUGCCUUUGUUGUGCUAAAGCAGCCAUAUAUGGUAUAUAAAUGAAUGAGUAUUGCUGUGUUCCAAUAAACUUUAUUUACAAAAGCAACUAGUGGGCUGCAUUUGGUCCAUGGGCCUUAGUUUGCCAACCCCUGCUCUAGAGAAAUUUUUACAUUUGCACAGAGUAGGCAUGUGCAAAGAUUUUAAUUGCAGUAUGGUUUGUAAUAAAAUCUUAGAAGCAAGCUAAAAACAAUUAGAAAAAGAAUGGUUAAAUAAAUCGUGGUACUUAGAGAUUUUUGAAAUACUAUACAGCAGAUAAAAAACAAAUUUAAGGAGAGGGUAUAUAGCUCAGUGGUUGAGUACCUUCUUAGCGUGCAUGAAGUCCUGGGUUCAAUCCCCAGUUCCUCCAUUAAGAUAAAUAAAUAAAUAAACCUAAUUACCUCCCCCCACCAAAAAAAAAGAACAAGUUUAGAUCUCUUGUAACAGCACUGCCCAAUAGAAAUAUAAUAUGAGUCCUAUGGGUAAUUUAAAAUUUUUCAGUAGACACAUUAAAAAUAUAAAAAGCAACAGAUGAAAUGGAUAAUAUAUUUUGAACUCUAUACACCCAAAAUAUUAUCACUUCAACAUACAAUCAAAAUAAAAAUUAUUAACGAGAUAGUUUACAUUCUUUUUUUGGUGCCGAGUCUGAGAUCUGAUGUGUGCUUUACACUUACAGCACAUCUCAGUUUGGGCUGCGUGUAGGCGAUCCCCAUACUUACAAUGGUUUGUCUUAAGAUUUUAUGACUUAACGAUGGUAUGAAAGAGAUACAUACUUUUCCUGGGCUAGUGAGGUGCGGUAGACCUUCUCUCGUGAUACUGGGCAGUGGCAGCAGCCGCAGCUCCCAGUCAGCCCUGUGACCACGAGGGUGAACAAGAUACCCUUAUAACCAUUCUGCACCCAGACAACCAUUUUGUUUUUCACUUUUGGUACAUUAUUCAAUAAAUUACAUGAGUUAUUCAACACUUUAUUAUAAAAAAGCCUUUGUGUGAGGUGACUUUGCCCAACUGUAGGUUCAUGUCAGUGUUCUGAGCACGUUUAAGGUAGGCAAGGCUUAGGUAUAAUGUUGGUAGGUUAGAUGUAUCAAGAUUCAUCAGGAUGUAACCCCAUUGUAAGUCGGGAAGAUCUACAUUUUCAAGUGCUUAAUAGCCACAUGGGGCUGGUGGCUACUGUACUGGACAGCACAGAUCUGUAAAUACUGACAUGGGAACACCACUGAGACAUAUUUAGUGAAAAAGGAAAGUUACAGAAUAAUAUAUACAGUCUGAAACAUUUAUGUAAAGGGAAAAAAAACCUAUUUCUAUAGGAAUAUAUUGGGGAAAAGAGAAAAAAGAAUAUAUAGAUAUGUACCCAUAACUUUAACUAAGCUCCAGACUUCAUUCAGACUUCACCAGUUUUCCCCCUCAUGGCCUUUCUCUGUUUCAGAAUUCAGUCCAGGCUUGAGUUGUAUUUAGUCAUGAUGCUUCUCCAGUGUCCUCUGCUCUGUGAUGGUUUCUCAGUCUUUCCCAUGACCUUGACAGUCUUGAGCAGUGCCGGCCAAGUAUUUUGUCUAAUGUCCCUAAAUUUGGCUUUGUCCAAUGAUUUCCUCAUGAAUCAACUGGGAUCAAGGGUUUGGGGGAAGAAUACCACCGAGGCGAGGUGCCCUUCUCGUCCUGUCACUUCACGGGGUACAUGAGAGCCUCAUAACUUACCACUGGUGAUGUUAACCUUGACUGCUUGGCUAAGGUGGUGUCUGCCAGGUUUCCCCACUGUAAAGUUACUACUUUUCCCUUUUCAUACCCUAUCCUUGGAGGCAAGUCACUAAGUCCAGACUCUACUCAAAGGUGAUGGGAAUUAAACAAUGCUUACAUUGUUUGGAAUUCUUCCCUAAAGAAGAUUUGUCCAUUCUCCCCUAUUUAUUAUUUAUUUGACAUCAGUGUGGACUCACUCACAUAUUUAUUUUAUACUUUGGGUUGUAAUCUUAUCUGAUUUUUUUUUUCACAGUGAAUAUCAGCCCAUGUAUUGUGUUUUUUGUUUUUUUUUU